AGAAAAUUUACAACUGAUACAUUUACUAUUACUACUGCGGAGAAUCUAAGAUUUACCAAUUUACAUACCAAAUCAAAUACAUCACCCGAUGAUGAAGGAGUCGGGUUACUGAAUAAGAGUCGCGGGAGAACUAACAGUCACGAAUAUGAAAAAAAACAUAAAUGGAGACUGUCAGUCUCGAGAGUGAGUUAAAAUCAAAUAAUCUAGGGACUAUUGCUUCUUCUCNNNUUAUAAUCAAUACCAUAAUAAAAUAAAUAAAUAAAAUAAAUAAAAAUAUAUUUUUACUUUUACGGGACGAGUGGCUCGGUAGAACCCUAAACCCCAAAAUCUAGUAGCCAUUCGGCUCUCUUAAUCCAAUAAGACUGGCGCCCCGAGAGCAAUGCUCGACCAGGGACCUUACCUCCAGUCUGGUCACUUAAGUAUCCAAAUAAGCCGGCGCCCCGAGAGCAAUGCUCGACCAGGGACCUUACCUCCGGCAAUUUACACAAAUCAGCCCAGAGAGCCAUGCUCGACCAGGGCAAACCCAUGAAAAUCUUAUUACAUGUCCAUGAUCAUUACCGGUGCGCACGCGGUCCUGAUGUAACCCAUCAGGCGGCAUGUUCUACAAGCCACAUUUCCCAAAUCGCAAUCACCAUAUUUAAUAAAUAUCAUUGUCUAAUGAAAUCAUUCAACACAUAUCAAAAUAAAGAUUAAAAAUUUAGGAUAAGGCAACGUGCAAUUCGUGUCGACAGAAUAAUAAUAUCUGUAUUAUUAUAACGUUACUAAUAAUAAUAUUUAUAUUAUUUCCAAUAAUUAAUAGUCCAGUGAAAUUAUUUACGUUGCGAUACUAAUAACCAUAUUAUGCAUAAACUUUCAAAAUAGCAUAUUAAAAUCAAACUUAGCAAUAGCGCAAUGAUUAAAUGACUUUAACUCAUAGGAUUGGGCGACCUCCUAGCUCUGCUCCGGUGCCUCGGUUGGAGCGAGCCGAACAGACAGAUCAUCUAAUCACGGAAAAUAAUUUAUCAAAACGCUGAAACAAUCGAUCAUUAAUCCUAGGUCUAGACUCCUAGGACUGACUGUCUAAGAAUCUCGACUCGGGAAAAUUCUACCGAAAAUCCGGCAGAACCUCCCCUACAACACGAACAUUACCCCCCGUAAAAACGGGUAUAGGACCUGCCAGAAGAACACUUCAAAUAUCCAACAAUUUAAACAACGGGAGUCGGGUCCCCAAACUUCACUAUUUCCCGACUCCGCCACACAGCACAAAAUACGAGGCAAGCAAACUGACAGACAAUUAUUUUUGACUCACAAAUAUCAUCAAAUACUCAAUGUAACCCAAUAAACACAAAUUUAAAAUCAAGGAUUUCUAAGAUCAACGGCCAGAGAAAUUUACCGAGACGCUCGAUCGCUCGGUCGACUCGCCUCCGGCCGCCAGAGUCCGAUCGACGAUCUGAACACACCAUCGGACUCACAACGACGCGCUGACGACGAUCCCCGCUUUCGAUUUUCC
rnacentral:lncRNA from 1 species